rnacentral:piRNA from 1 species
AGGACUGAUGGAAGCAAGAUGG